UACGGCCUCAUCACGUUGAAACACCGAUUCCCGUACGAUUACCGAAGUUAAGCAACGUUGAGCUUGGUCAGUACUAGAUGGGUGACCGCUUGGGAAUACCAGAUGUUGUAC